rnacentral:rRNA from 1 species
CAUGCAAGUCGAACGGAAGUUAGAGCUUCGGUUUUAACUUUAGUGGCGAACGGGUGAGUAACGCGUGAGGAACCUGCCUUUCAGUGGGGGACAACAGUUGGAAACGACUGCUAAUACCGCAUGAUGCUUUUGGGAGACAUCUCUUGGAAGCCAAAGCUUUAUGUGCUGAAAGAUGGCCUCGCGUCUGAUUAGCUAGUUGGUGAGGUAACGGCUCACCAAGGCGACGAUCAGUAGCCGGUCUGAGGGGAUGAACGGCCACAUUGGGACUGAGAUACGGCCCAGACUCCUACGGGAGGCAGCAGUGGGGAAUAUUGGGCAAUGGGGGAAACCCUGACCCAGCAACGCCGCGUGAAGGAAGAAGGCCUUCGGGUUGUAAACUUCUUUUACCAGGGACGAAGGACGUGACGGUACCUGGAGAAAAAGCAACGGCUAACUACGUGCCAGCAGCCGCGGUAAUACGUAGGUUGCAAGCGUUGUCCGGAUUUACUGGGUGUAAAGGGCGUGUAGGCGGAGAUGCAAGUUGGGAGUGAAAUCCAUGGGCUCAACCCAUGAACUGCUCUCAAAACUGUAUCCCUUGAGUAUCGGAGAGGCAAGCGGAAUUCCUAGUGUAGCGGUGAAAUGCGUAGAUAUUAGGAGGAACACCAGUGGCGAAGGCGGCUUGCUGGACGACAACUGACGCUGAGGCGCGAAAGCGUGGGGAGCAAACAGGAUUAGAUACCCUGGUAGUCCACGCUGUAAACGAUGAAUACUAGGUGUGGGAGGACUGACCCCUUCCGUGCCGCAGUUAACACAAUAAGUAUUCCACCUGGGGAGUACGACCGCAAGGUUGAAACUCAAAGGAAUUGACGGGGGCCCGCACAAGCAGUGG